AGCUCUCAAACAACGUUUGAAGUCUGGGUUACGAUGCCGUUUUGGCUGUACCUGACAUCUCCUUCCGCUCCAGCAGCUCACAUUGACGCAGCAAAUUCAUCUCCAAGACCUCAGGUCUGAAAAGAAAACCCUUAUCCAAGAAACCUCGGCGUCUGAUGAGCGGGAGGUCACAGGAGGCACGUCCCUCACCGCUCUGCUCUCCCCGCUGGGCAUCGCCUGGGCAUCCCCAUGGCACUGCUCUCAGCUGCUCUGGGGCUGGAAAGGUCCCACUGCUGCUGGGUGGCCUAACACUGGAAGAAUUUGCUCUUUUGAACAUACGAACCUUCAUGCUGGUAUAACGAUUUCCGCCAAAGAGGAACACAAACGGGGCGGAGAGCAGAGUAGAUCCAGUGUGAUGUCUGCCCAGGGAAGCAGCGGGGAAACAAAGAACAAACGUGGCUGGUGUCGGAAAAAUUCCACCACGCCAAGGUGGGCAGGAGGAGCAGCACCUGUCCUUCACAGCAUCGCUGGUGGAUGCUCACCGGUGUCAGCAGAUCCACGUCACGCCUACGGCUCUGUCCACGCUUACACGUGGUGCUGGUGGCACCAUCAUCCAGCCCAGCUCCUGCUGAGUGCUGGUGGAAUUCCCGACAUGGGCACUGAGGGGGGUCAGAGGAAGGGGACUGAGGCCAGCUGGGACACGGGAGCCACAUAUUUCAUGGGGCAGAGCUGCGGUGACAGCACACAUGGCACAUGACAGUGCCUGGGAGCCAUAGGCGAGAGGGAAGAGACCGGGGCUGUUGGUGGCAGAGGAGGGACUGGAGCAGAGGCAGGUGGAACACGUGGCUGUACAGGUAAAGGGAAUCUGCAGAUCCCUCGUGCAACACGCAAUGCUGUGGUGGAAGGGAGCGAUUUCUUCCCCUGGCGAGGAAGAGGUAAAUGCCUUGAGGAUUGGAGUGUACUCUGUGGAGUGCUUCCUGUAUCUUGCCAAAUAUUAAUACAAAAUACA